rnacentral:rRNA from 1 species
GCGGCCUAUCAGCUUGUUGGUGAGGUAACGGCUCACCAAGGCUACGACGGGUAACCGGCCUGAGAGGGCGACCGGUCACACUGGGACUGAGACACGGCCCAGACUCCUACGGGAGGCAGCAGUGGGGAAUAUUGCGCAAUGGGCGAAAGCCUGACGCAGCGACGCCGCGUGAGGGAUGAAGGUCUUCGGAUUGUAAACCUCUUUCAGCAGGGACGAAGCGAAAGUGACGGUACCUGCAGAAGAAGCACCGGCUAACUACGUGCCAGCAGCCGCGGUAAUACGUAGGGUGCAAGCGUUGUCCGGAUUUAUUGGGCGUAAAGAGCUCGUAGGCGGUUUGACACGUCGGAUGUGAAAACUCAGGGCUCAACCCUGAGCCUGCAUUCGAUACGGUCUAACUAGAAUGUGGUAGGGGAGACUGGAAUUCCU